rnacentral:lncRNA from 1 species
AUAAGACACCUCUACUAUUUUCAUUAGAAAUGUCUACCAUUAACAUAAGAGAAAUCAAAUAAAAGUAGACUUUCUGGAAAUCUAAAUUGUUCUUGAGAUUGAACCAACCCAAGGUAAAAGAUGCAAAGUCUACAUAACAUAACAUACAACUACUUUUUUCAUAAGAAAUGUCUACCAUUAACAUAAGAGAAAUCAAAGAAAAGUAGACUUUCUGGAAAUCAAAAUUGUUUUUGAGAUUGAAUCAAUAAUGGAAGGUGAAAGUUGCAAAGUCUACAUUUAACAUAAGACACGUCUACCAUUAACAUAAGAGAAAUCAAAGAAAAGUAGAUUUUCUGGAAAAUUGAAUUGUUCUUGAGAUUGAAUCAAUGAAUAUUCACAAAAUGAAAAUUGACCGUCUGAUGUGAUCAUUAUAGUGAAACAUGGCUAUGGUAAUAAAAUUCAACUGGAUUCAACAAUGUUCGGUGCUCGAUCAAAGCGGUUAACCCUAAUUCAUCUUCACUUAUCACACGAAAACUAUCUUACCUACCUCUUCGUGACCUAGUUUGGUGGAUUCUUCAACACAAUAAAGUGUCACAUAGGUGAGACAUAACCACCCAUGUAAAACUUUGGGGACGUUUACCACCCGAGGAUAGGGCUCUCCUUAUUGCAGCAUAAGCGUAAAUAGGGUUGACCGCUUCGAUCGGGGCCCAAACAUUGGCGAAUUAAAGUGAUUUUUCCACCGUAGCUGUAUUUUACUAUAUCGAUCACAUCAUAUUUCACGAGAUUUUUGAAAAUUUUGCUUCCUCUAUAUAGUUGGUUCAUAAAGUUGUACACUAGCAUAUAACCUAUCAAACAAGUUAUAUUACUUUAGUAGGCAUGUUAUGAUUUCGAUGACUAAAAUUCACAACAUGAAAAUUGACCAUAUGAUGUGAUCAUUAUAGUGAAACAUGAUUAUGGUAUAAAAUUCAACUGGAUUCAACAAUGUUCGGGGCUCGAUCAAAGCGGUCAACCCUAAUUCAUAUUCAUUUAUCACACGAAAACUAUCUUACCUACCUCUUUGUGACCUAGUUUGGUGGAUUCUCCAACACAAUAAAGUCUCACAUAGAUGAGAUUUAACCACCCAUGUAAAACUUUGGGUACAUUUACCACCCGAGGAUAGGGCUCUCCUUAGUGAAACAUAAACGUAAAUAGGGUUGACCGCUUCGAUCGGGGCCCAAACAUUGGCAAAUUAAAGUGAUUUUUCUACCGUAGCCAUAUUUUACUAUACCGAUCACAUCCUAUUUCACAAGAUUUUUGAAAAUUUUGCUUCCUCUAUAUAGUUGGUUCACAAAGUUGUACACUAGCAUAUAACCUACCAAACAAAUUAUACCACAUUAGUAGGUACGUUGUGAUUCCAAUGACUAAAAUUUAGACGCAGUUGUGAAGUGGGUCCCGCCAGUGGUCUGUGACAUUUUUCGGUGAAUUUUUCUGACACUGGAGCUAUUUUCUAUGCAUUUUUAAAGUUUUGAAAUGGUAGGAAAAAAAGUAAAACUUUAAUGACAUGGACAGAUUAGUGACUUAGGACGAAUGAGGU